GAAUAAUGUACAUCAGUUUUUAUUUUCAAUAAUAUAAUAUUUAUGUUUCUUCAAUUUCUGUUUUUUUAUAUUAUAUUAAAUACAAAAUAUCAUUACAUUGUUUUAGCUACUUAGAACCAUAGAUGCACACAUCGACAAUGAAUGUAAUUUUAGACUAACGACGGACGACUGUUCUUUAGAACGCGGAUCCAAAAUAGUUAUAUGUAUUAUAUACCUACCUCAAUGUUACACAAGAGCUUAUUAAACGUUAACUUAAAACAAAAUUGCAUGCGAGUUCACGUGAUGGUAAGAAAUGAUUUUUUCGUAAGUCUUGAUCAACACACUGAACUUAAACUAGCUACAUAGAAUCAAGAUGCAUAUACAUCGACAAUGAAUGUAAUUUUAAAUUAAAGACGGACGACAGUUCUUCAGAACAUGGAUCCGAAAUAGUUAUGUCUUAUGUGUGAUGAUAAAUGGUAAGAAAUGAUUUUUUUAUAAGUCAACACACCGAACACCAGAUAUCUCAUCCACGUAAGACAAUUUUAUGUAUUUUGUAAAUGUAUGUGUAAGUAUAGAUAUAUAGACUUAUUAAAUUAUUUUUAGUAUUUGUUGCACUUGUAAUGUAGUAUAUUAUAUUUUUAUAAUAAGCAUUUUAAUGCUUUACUGUUCUCUAAUAAAUGUAUAUAGAUAGAGGAUCAACCGUGAUUAUGGUAGAUGAUGUCUCGGUGACUAUUAUAGGUACACUCGAGGAAGCCGUCCGCGUGUUGAAAGCUCAGUUUGAGGUUUUAAAAAAAAAUCACCAGCCGAGAAAUGACGCGGCGACAAUUCAGCCACCGGGAGGUUAGGUUGCGCCAAAAAUUUGUUCAACUAAACCAUCGUCUUCAUGGUGCUAUUAUCAUAUUUGGUACGGUAAAGACGCGCCGAAGUGCUCAAGUAGCCCGUGUACGUUUUCUCCCGAGAUAGUGACUGAAAAUCAAACAUUUAAGAAGUUAUAUACUUCUGAUAAACCAGCAAAAUUUAACUACCCGUACUCUACUAGAACAGUCAGACCUUGACAUAAAUCAGUGCAAACAAUUACACAUUAAAUCUUGCAAUUAUUGAUUGUCAAAUGUAUUUGUAUUGGUUUGUCACUUGUUUCGUUGGAUAAAAUAAAAUUGUAUAUACUUAAGCUGUA